AUUGAACGCUGGCGGCAGGCCUAACACAUGCCAGUCGAGCGGAUGAAGGGAGCUUGCUCCUGGAUUCAGCGGCGGACGGGUGAGUAAUGCCUAGGAAUCUGCCUGGUAGUGGGGGAUAACGUCCGGAAACGGGCGCUAAUACCGCAUACGUCCUGAGGGAGAAAGUGGGGGAUCUUCGGACCUCACGCUAUCAGAUGAGCCUAGGUCGGAUUAGCUAGUUGGUGGGGUAAAGGCCUACCAAGGCGACGAUCCGUAACUGGUCUGAGAGGAUGAUCAGUCACACUGGAACUGAGACACGGUCCAGACUCCUACGGGAGGCAGCAGUGGGGAAUAUUGGACAAUGGGCGAAAGCCUGAUCCAGCCAUGCCGCGUGUGUGAAGAAGGUCUUCGGAUUGUAAAGCACUUUAAGUUGGGAGGAAGGGCAGUAAGUUAAUACCUUGCUGUUUUGACGUUACCAACAGAUUAAGCACCGGCUAACUUCGUG
rnacentral:rRNA from 1 species